GAUGAACGCUGGCGGCGUGCCUAAUACAUGCAAGUGAGCGAACAGACGAGGAGCUUGCUCCUCUGACGUUAGCGGCGGACGGGUGAGUAACACGUGGAUAACCUACCUAUAAGACUGGGAUAACUUCGGGAAACCGGAGCUAAUACCGGAUAAUAUAUUGAACCGCAUGGUUCAAUAGUGAAAGACGGUUUUGCUGUCACUUAUAGAUGGAUCCGCGCCGCAUUAGCUAGUUGGUAAGGUAACGGCUUACCAAGGCGACGAUGCGUAGCCGACCUGAGAGGGUGAUCGGCCACACUGGAACUGAGACACGGUCCAGACUCCUACGGGAGGCAGCAGUAGGGAAUCUUCCGCAAUGGGCGAAAGCCUGACGGAGCAACGCCGCGUGAGUGAUGAAGGUCUUCGGAUCGUAAAACUCUGUUAUUAGGGAAGAACAAAUGUGUAAGUAACUAUGCACGUCUUGACGGUACCUAAUCAGAAAGCCACGGCUAACUACGUG
rnacentral:rRNA from 1 species